rnacentral:piRNA from 1 species
GGAUGGAUGCUUGUCAACUGUUAGU